UACGUAGGGGACGAGCGUUGUCCGGAUUCAUUGGGCGUAAAGCGCGCGUAGGCGGCCUUGUAAGUCUGUUGUUUAAACUUGGGGCUCAACCCCAAGUCGCAAUGGAAACUGCAAAGCUUGAGUGCAGAAGAGGAAAGUGGAAUUCCACGUGUAGCGGUGAAAUGCGUAGAGAUGUGGAGGAACACCAGUGGCGAAGGCGACUUUCUGGGCUGUAACUGACGCUGAGGCGCGAAAGCGUGGGGAGCAAACAG
rnacentral:rRNA from 1 species